rnacentral:rRNA from 1 species
GGCGUGAGAGCGUGACCCCCACACUGUCACUGGGACACGGGCCAGACUCCUACGGGAGGCAGCAGUGAGGAAUAUUGCGCAAUGAGCGAAAGCUAGACGCAGCAACGCCGCGUUGGUGAUGAAGGCCUUCGGGUCGUAAAACCCUUUUCUGGGGGAAGAGUAAGGACGGUACCCCAGGAAUAAGCCUCGGCUAACUAUGUGCCAGCAGCCGCGGUAAUACAUAGGAGGCAAGCGUUAUCCGGAUUUACUGGGCGUAAAGAGCGUUGAGGCGGCUUCGUAAGUUGGACGUGAAAGCUCCCGGCUUAACUGGGAGAGGCCGUUCAAUACUGCGGGGCUUGAGGACAGCAGAGGGGGGUGGAAUUUCCGGUGUAGUGGUGAAAUGCGUAGAUAUCGGAAGGAACACCAGUGGCGAAGGCGGCCCCCUGGUGCUGCUCCUGACGCUGAAGGCGAAAAGCUAGGGUAGCCGAACGGGAUUAGAAACCCCGGUAGUCUUAGCCGUAAACGAUUGGAUACUAGGUUUUAGGAGGUUAAAUUCCUUCUGUGCCGGAGCUAACGCGUUAAGUAUCCCGCCUGGGGAGUACGUUCGCAAGGCUAAAACUCAAAGGAAUUGACGGGGGCCCGCACAAGCAGCGGGAGCGUGUGGUUUAAUUCGGAUGCAACGCGAAGAACCUUACCAGGGCUUGACAUGUAGGUAGUAGUGAAGCGAAAGCGGAACGAUCCUUCGGGAAGCCUACACAGGUGCUGCAUGGCUGUCGUCAGCUCGUGCCGUGAGGUGUUAGGUUAAGUCCUGUAACGAGCGCAACCCCUGCCGUUAGUUUACAAGUGUCUAACGGGACUGCCCGGCAAAACUGGGAGGAAGGUGGGGAUGACGUCAAGUCAGCAUGGCCUUUAUGUCCUGGGCUACACACACGCUACAAUGGCCGGUACAAUGGGUUGCCAAGCCGCGAGNCGGAGCCAAUCCUCUAAAGCCGGUCUCAGUUCGGAUUGUAGGCUGCAACCCGCCUGCAUGAAGUUGGAGUUGCUAGUAACCGCAGGUCAGCCACACUGCGGUGAAUACGUUCCCGGGCCUUGUACACACCGCCCGUCACGUCAUGGAAGCU